rnacentral:rRNA from 1 species
UGCAUGGCCGUUCUUAGUUGGUGGAGCGAUUUGUCUGGCUAAUUCCGAUAACGAACGAGACUCUGGCCUACUAACUAGCGGCGGUGUUCAUGCCUCCUGACGGGGGCCGCGUGCGGCAACCGCCGGGCGCGCCCCUUGGAGCAGCAGCGCCGGCAGCCGCUUCUUAGAGGGACCAGCGACACUUUCGCAAGCCGCACGAGAAAGAGCAAUAACAGGUCUGUGAUGCCCUUAGAUGUACGGGGCUGCACGCGUGCUACACUGACGGCGUCAGCGUGCGUUCAAGCCCGGCCUGGCAAGGUCGGGAAAUCGGUUGAAACGUUCUCGUGACUGGGACAGGGAAUUGCAAUUAUUUCCCUC